rnacentral:misc_RNA from 1 species
UUUCCGUUGGUGAACCAGCGGAGGGAUCAUUACCGAGUUUACAACUCCCAAACCCCUGUGAGCAUACCUGUUUUGUUGCUUCGGCGGUGCCCUCGCUCUCGCGGCGAGGCCCGCCAGAGGACCCAAACAAACUCUUUGACUUUGAUCUAGGAUUAUACUUCUGAGUGAUACAAAAAAUAAAAUCAAAACUUUCAACAACGGAUCUCUUGGUUCUG